GUGCCCUGUCACAUGAUAACAAAGAUCCUUCAUUUGAUUCUCUAUCUUGGCUUCCCUCUGGGAGAAUUCAACAAGCAAUGCAUUGUGAGAAUACUCAAGCAGCCUGGGGAGAGACCCUUAUGGAGAAGAACUGAAACGUUUUGUCAGUAAUUAACAUCAACUUGCCAGCCAUGACACUUUAGUGAGUUUAAUAUGGAUUGCUGAUCAUUAUGCUUGGAUGGGAGCACCAGAAUUUGAAUAAUAGAGGAAGAAGAAGAAGAAG